UAAAUUUUAUAAUUUAACAAUUUUUUUUGUGAAAAUGACUGAUAUUAAUAUUAACAGGCUUAAAAGGAGUAGCUAAAAGGCCACCAAAACAGACAAAAAAGAAAAUCACAACUGUCCAAUAUAAAAGAAAAUUAAAAACUACGCCUAGAAAGUAACGAAACAUCAAUAAGCAAAAAAUGCGUGAGCCUGCAACAAAACUUUUCAAUCUCCAUUAUCAGCCACAGCAGGGCUCCAUUUCCUUCGUAUUAUCGAUCAGAGACCCAGAGCCAGCAACGCUUUGCAAACAAUAUUAGAGAUUCAAUGAACCUUCUCUAACUCAAAGCGAACAUAUGGAACUUAGGUCCGUUGGCACCAUCGUAACCAGUCUUCCUCCACCACCAGUCGCACAGUCUCCGGUAUUCCAUUAACCCAGGCCCCACACACUUUCCGAUGUCGACUUUCCACUGCCAAAAUAUGGGCUACAGCGUUAAGCGGACGGUUCACAAACUUGUAAGAGACUUCAUCAAAGCCCUGGCGCAAUCUAUGAAUAUUAUGAACAAUCGACCUAAUAAUCGAUCUAUCUUCCUCAUUUUUAAUCAGUUUUUUAAUGACUGUCAGGGAGUCCCCUUCCACAAUCAACCGUUGAAAGCCCUUCAAUUUUGCGAGGAUCAGCGCUCUUUCACAAGCUCGUGCUUCCGCCACGAAUGCGUCAUCCACACCUUCCACCAGAUAAGUAACUGCUUCUAUAACUUCCCCUCUGUGAUUUCUGGCUAAGAUUGCUAUUGUCGCAAAAUUAUUUCCUGAAAUAUACGACGCAUCAAAAUUAAUUUUAAUAAAACCAUAGUCAGGAGGCCUCCAGACUUCAUUUCUCAUAAGAGCAGUAGAAUCACAUAGAUUCUCACGAACAAGCCAUGGAUCUCGCUCAUAGCCCCUGAUAAAUCCCAAUAGUUGUGGCAUAGAAAGCUUAAUCCCCUCAUGAACCAACUUAUUUCUAUGAAACCAGAAACACCAAAGAGUUAAAGCAAUAAACCUUUUUUUCGACCUUCUGCUUCAAGAUAUGUUUUAACAAAAUUAGCCUUAUAAUCCAGGGAAUCGUCCAAAGGGGGAAUUUGAACUUGCAACGAUGUCCAUAUAUUUCGAAGGACCCUACAAGACCCCAACAAAUGCGCUGUGGUUUCUAGAUCUUCCUUACACAGUGGGCAUACAGCCUCCUCACAUAGUGUUCGGCGUGCCAAGUUCCCAUAGUGUGGCACCAUGUUAUUGAACAAUCUCCAAACAUGUAUUUUUAUUUUCUCUGGAAUAUGCAAAGCCCAGAUAUCCAUGUAAAAACUUUUGUAUUAUUCAUUUGUAGAGGACAUGUGUAGAUUGCUCUGUAAAUAAUCUGUAAUAAGAACUCGAUACCCACUCCUGACAGUAUACUCACCUGAGCCUUCAUACUUCCAUACCAACAUAUUCUCUGGUCGGCUUUCAGAGAUGGGAAUGUCAAAGAUUCGAUUAGCAGUGUUAUCAUCCACUAGAUUGUGAAUCAACUCUCUAUUCCAGGUACUGUCUUCUUCAUUCAUUAACUAAUUCACUGUUGACCAAGGAGGCUUAAUUUCAAUAACUGGGAUUCUGUUAUUCUCUCUUCCAGGCAGCCAGGGGUCAUUCCAAAUGUUGAUACUUGCACCAUUUCCUACACGCCACAAGAUUCCAUCACUGAUCAGGUCCCGCGCACUACAAAUACUUCUCCAAGUAAAUGAAGGGUAAGAACCAACCUUUGCUGUUAGUAUAGUGGAAAGAGGGAAAUAACGGGCUUUUAAAACCUUGGCUAAUAAACAAUGGGGCUAGGUUAAAAUACGCCACACCUGCUUCGUUAAAAGGGCCUUAUUAAACAAGAAUAAAUUUUUAAACCCCAGCUCUCUAAAACUUUUCGGUUUAUACAGAACAUCCCACGAACUCCAAUGAAUCCCCUUCGAUGUUUUAUUAUUCGUCCACCAGAAUCGAUUCAUUAUUCCUUCCAAUGUUUUACAUAAUGACUUUGGCAAUAAAAAACACUGCAUAGCAUAAAUUGAAGUUGACUGCAAAACUGAUUUAAUGAAAACCUCCUUAUCCCCCAUUGAAAGAUAACGCAUACUCCACCCCUCCACCCAUUUUCUGAAUCGGUCCACAAAGUUAGCAAAAGCCCACUUUUUCCUCCUACCCACCAUCAUAGGCAAACCGAGAUACUUUUCAGGAUUUGAGGCCAGACGUACCCUUAAUAAAUUAACAAUAUCCUUCUGAACACUAGAGACGACAUUUGUAGCGAAAUAAAUGAGGGAUUUUUCAAAAUUCACUCUCUGCCCCGAGACCGUCUCAUAUUCAUGGAUAAUAGCCCGAACCACUUCAGCUCCUUCACAGGAGGCAUCACCAAAAAGAAUGCAAUCAUCUGCAAAAAAUAAGUGGUUGACCGAAAACUUCUCUCUACCUAUAGGUGCCCCCAUCAUCAUCCAUUUAGUUUUAGCUUCCUGAAUGAGCAGCGAAAACCCUUCAGCACAAAUCAAGAAUAAAUAAGGACUAAGAGGGUCUCCUUGUCUGAGUCCUCUCGAUGGUGUGAACCAGUCCCCGCUAGCUCCAUUAAUACUAAUAGAGUACGUGACAGAGCAUACACAACGCAUGACAAGAACGAUCCAAUCCUCAUGAAAACCCAGGUGCUUCAUCAUACCUGCCAAAAAAUCCCAUUCCACACGAUCAUACGAUUUACUCAUAUCUAGUUUAAACGCAAAGUUGUCUUUCUUACCUCUCUUUUUCAUUUUUAGGGAAUGAAGUAUCUCAUAAGCAAUCAGUACAUUAUCAGAUAUAAGCCUACCUGGAAUAAAGGCCUUUUGAGCUUCAUUAAUACAAGACCCCAGUGUUUCGCUCAUCCUCAAUACCAACACUUUUGCUAUAAUUUUGUAAAUGACAUUACAAAGCCUGAUAGGCCUAAAAUGAGUCAUGUUACUCGAUUUUUCAACCUUUGGAAUCAGGAUAAUGCGCGUUUUGUUAAUAACACUCAAAUCCUCUUGUCCCUGUAGAACGGAUAAACAAAAGCGGGUAACCUCAGGCCCAACAAUGUGCCAAUAACGCUGAAAGAAGAGGGCCAGAAACCCAUCCAACCUAGGGGCUUUCAAAGGCGUCAAGGAUUUGACUGCAUAGACAAUGUCCUCCUCCGUAAAUUGUCUUAAGAGCCUUUCAUUCAUACUACUAGUAACUUUUUCCUCUACUAAGCUAAACAAAUGCUCAUCCGAACCUGACUCUGAAGCAGAGAAAAGCUUACCAAAAUAGUCAGAAGCUACCUGGAGGAACUCCUCAGUGGAAUUAGUACUUCUCCCAGCUCCAUCUUCUAGUUCAGAAAUUCUACAACGAAAGUGACGUUGGACAGCUACCUUGUGAAAAAAGCUGGUAUUACGAUCCCCAUUCUUUAGCCAAUUCACCCACGCACGCUGCUCCUAAAAUAAUUCCUCCUUUUCAGCUUCCAACUUAACCCCCAAUUGGACCUCUAUAAUCUCAGCUAGAACUUCAUCUGACGGAUCUUGAGUGUAAAGAUUCAUUAAUCUGUCUUCUAAACGGAACCGAUUCCUCCGCUCCUUAAUACUAUUCACCUUGCUCCAUUUUAGUAUUUGAGAACCCAUUUUCUCCAACUUACUCAGUACACCUCCAGAUUUUUUUCCCAUCAUCUCCUAAUCAUGCCUUCAAAUGAGCCCUCUAAACACCACUUAGCCUCAAAUCGAAAAGACUUCUCAUACUUAUUUUGACGGUUCUAUACUCCCCCUAGAGUAUCCAGAAGAAUAGGGCAAUGGUCAGAAAACGAGUGACUCAAAUGUUCCAGACGAUAUCCAGGAAAAGUAUUCAUCCAGCUCAAUGAAGCAACACCACGAUCCAGACGUUCCCUUAGAUUAGUCGAUGCAUAUCGUCCUCGUUCCCAUGUGAACCAUCUGCCAACAAAGCCUAAAUCAUUAAGGCAACAAUCUUCGAGAACCCCGCGAAAAUCCCUCAUUUGUCCAAUUGGUCUGAGGCGACCACCCUUAUUCUCAAAGGAAUCCAUAAUUUCGUUGAAAUCCCCCAUCACCACCCAAGGCAUAUCCUGAUCUUGAUCUUGAUGCAACUGGCGUAGCAAAUUCCGCGAAUCACCUCUGCGUCUUCCAUCUGGAUGCCCAUAGAAACCAGCGAACCUCCAAACAUUUCCACACUCAUUAUCAUGUACCUCUGCGUCUUUCAAAUAUUUCCUUUCCAACCUAACGACAAACCCCCUUUCGUACCAACUGGACCAAUAUCGAUGUUAUUCUCAAAACCGUACUUUAAUCUUACCAACUCCAUUUUCUUUGAACAUAAUUUCAUCUUUAUAAGAAACAAAAUUCGGGGAUUAAUGGCUCUUAACUUGUUUUUUAGCCUUAUAACUGUUCGUGGUCUCCCCAAACCACGAACGUUCCAACUUAGGAUUUUCAUCGAGCCCGGUUGCUCUGAUUUUCAGAGCUAGCCGAAACAUUCAUAGAUCCAGAUCCCACAUUAGCAUCCAACAGAACACGUGACCUAUCCACUAUUCGCUGUCGCUUUUUCCCCUCAGACAACUCUAAUGACUCAUUUUUCUCCUCCAAAUCCAACUCCAUUUCCCCCUGAACGAUCCCAUUUGCAGUCAAAUUAUCUAUACACCCAUCUCGCUUCUGAACAAUUCUACCACUGCCUUGAAUUGGAUCAGGACCUAAAGGAAUUAGAUUAGGAUUUAAGUUCCUACCAGAAUCCCUUGCAUUACCAUACAUGACGCCUGCCAAAUUUUCCUCACUAUACGGAGAUCCAUCUAUUGCCCGCAGCCACCUACUUAUCGCCACAUUUCGACGCCUGACCACAGCACGCAGCGAUAAAUCCCAGCCAAAGACUAUUUUUGACGGUUCAAUAGUCAGUCUAAUAGGGCAGUAACUUUCCCCGUGCCCGAGUUUUCCGCAAAUAAAGCAAAAUAAACUUAAUUUCUCAUACUUAAAUCUAGCAUAAACCACCAUAGAUUUCCCUAUCAAAACUUUCUUUUUUCACUUCAACAGGGCAGCAACAUUUAAACAGAUACGAAUACGCAUAUAAUGUUGAAUUCCCAAAGUCGGGAUGUGUAACACCCCUUAACCCCGAACCGUCGCCGGAACAGAAUUACGAGGCAUUACCGGACGUAUCGAACGAUUUACAACAAUUCUUAAAUAAAUAACCAAUAUAUUAAAAUAAUUCAUAAAAUUUAUUAAUUUGUUUACCAAAUGACUUCAUUUUUUUUUAUAAAAAUUUCGGCAGCAUUUCUGCUUAUUUUUACAUAAACCCCCCUGCAAAUUAAAACCAUAUAGUUCCCAAAUAUCAUCAAUUCAACCAAUUCAUUUCACAUUCACAUUUUCUAUUCUAAAUACUUCUAAUCAAACUCAAUCUACACAAUAUCAAUUUAAAAUUUAACAAUGUACUAAUUAGAUAAAAUAGAUAGACUUCUUUCAUUAAAAUCCAUAAACUUUUAAUACUAACAUUUUUAACCAUUAUAUAAUAAAACAUAAUAACCUUUAUACACAAUCUAUGUACAUGCCACCUUUACCAAAGGAAAAAUACAUCACCAAGUUUUGCCGAAGCCGGGAUUAAUCUGGAUGCUGAACCGGGACCAUUGACUUCUAUUGACCUGCGCACGGAAACAACCGUACGCUGAGUAAUCCAUACUCAGUGGUAUUACCAUAAUUCAAAUUAUAACAAUAAUGUACAUGUAAUGCAUAAAUCGUAUAUACAAUUUAAAUUAAAUAUUUCAACAAUAGCAAUUCAUCAACCAAUAUCGUAUAUCCACAAUUUGAGUUUGAAUAAUUCACGAACCUUAGGUUCAUUUCUCAAUCUUAUUUCACAUUUCAAUUCACAAUUCAACUUUUUCAUAUCAUUUCAAUAGCUCGUUUGACCAACUCGUUCGGUUUAUCAUUUCAUCAUUUACCCUAUUAACAAAACUCGGACUUUGGCGGAUACACGGAUCCAACCAAACACACCAGAAUGGCACCCAGUGCCUCAUCGGAUAGUUCGAAGCAAUAGUUGACACCCAGUGUCUCAUCAGCAAAGCCGAAGAAAGUUGGUACCCAGUACCUCAUCGAAUCUAUCCGAAGAAAUAUAGUGACACCCAGUGUCUCAUCGACUCGAGGUCGAAGUAUCCCUGAACUCUUCCAAUCCUAUGGCAUGCCAACUAUAUCCGACUCAGCCCGACUAGUUAAUAGGGUAUUUAAAUCACAUAUAUUCUCAAUUCAAUUACAAUUUUUCACAUUUUCAAUUCAAUCAUUUUUCCACCUUUCAAUCAAUAAUUAUUUCACAACUUCACACAUUUUCACAACUCAAUACAUUUCCAUACAACUUAAUACCAUUCACAAUUCGAUUCAAAUUCAUUUCCCGCUUUCAAUCAACAAACAAUUUAAAUAUUAUUUCAUAUCAACUAUUCAAUUUAAUUCCCACUCAUAAUAAUAAUAAUAAUACUAAUAAUAAUACUAAUACUAAUAUUAAUACUUACCUCACAUUUCAUUUACUAGACACAUAAAUUAAAAUUUAACAUUAAAAAAAUAAAUAAUUUGAAUUAUAGUAAUACAAACCGUAAUUUUCUCGAGUUUACUCCUCGAUAAUCUUCUCUUUUCCCUUCCGUGCCGACGCUUCUGGUUCUUUGCUAGCUACGAAAAUGAUAAUAAUUUAUACUAUUAAUUUCAGCACUAAUUAUGAUAAUAAUUAAAUUUCUAUUCAAUUUCUUCCUUAUUCUCAAUUUAAUCCUAACUAAAUUCACUUACUUUCCUAAUUCAAUUCACACUCUAUUUCUAUUCAAAUUUCAUCCAAACUAAAAUUUAACUAUCAAAAUUUCAGCAUAUUUUGGUAAUUUUGAAUUUCCCUCAAUUUAGUCCCUAAAACAUAAAACUUAUAGUUUCUUUUAUAAUUUAAUCCCUUUUUCAAUUCUAACUUAAAAUUCCUUCAAGUUAAUCCCUAAUUCAUCUCUUUUGUUCAACAUAAACUAUACUUGAAAACCUAUGAACUUACAAAAUAUCAACUUAAUUCCAUCAAAACUUUGUUUUAAAGCUUUUAGAACAUUAGAAUUAAGAGGAAAGGGCUAAUUUGACUUACCAAAUUAAAUUCAAGCUUCAAAAACCAUAUUUUCCCUUUUUCUUUUUCUUUCUUUCUUUCUCCCCUGUUUCGUCUCUUUCUCUGUUCCUUUGUUCUUUCUAUUCUGUUUCUUUUCUGUUUUGUUUCUUUCUUUUUCUUUUUAUUUCCUUUUAUUUAAUUACUUUAAUAUAAUAAUAAUUAAAACAAAUAUCUACUUAGUAAUUAAUAAAAAUAUUAAAAAUGUAUGUAUUUUAUUAAUACACUUGUAUUAAAUUAUCACCAUACAUUUUUCUUUAUUUAAUUUAUUUCUUAAUAUAAUAUUUAUAAUGUAAUUAAUUUAAUAUUAUACUUUAUAAUUAAUUUAUAUAUUUAUAUAAAUAAUAAUAUAAAAAUCUAAGAUUUUUACAAUGUUAUGCCGCCUCAACUUCCAAAUGUGGCUUAAUUGCCCAUUUGGUCCCUAUUAUUUUCCUUUAAUCUAUAAUUAUGCUUUCACUCUUUAUUCAAUUUAAUCCUUUUUACUAAUUACUCAUAAUUAAACUAAAUUCACCUAUCUAAAACUUAAUUAAACACACAACUAGUCUCGUAAAUAUUUCUAAUAAUUAUUUUCGGACUCAAUUUACUAGGACGGAGGCCCGAUAUUAUACUUUUCCGAUGCCCAUGAAUUUUGGGUCAUUACAUUUCUCCCCCUCUUAAUAAAUUUCGUCCUCGAAAUUUACCUGAGAAGAGAUGAGGAUAUUGUGCUCUCAUUGCCUCUUCCGGUUCCCAAGUUGCUUCUUCCACACUAUGGCUUCUCCAUAAAACUUUUACUAAAGGAACCCGUUUAUUUCUUAAUUCUUUCACUUCUCGUGCUAAUAUUUGAACUGGUUCUUCUUCAUAAGUUAAAUCAGAUCGAAGUUCAAUGUCUUCAGUGGGAAUAACAUGAGAAGGAUCCGAUCUAUAUCUCCGAAGCAUCGAAACAUGAAAAAUAUCAUGAAUUUUCUGUAACUCUGGAGGUAAGGAUAAUCGAUAAGCAACAGGCCCAAUUCUUUCCACUAUCUCAUACGGCCCAAUAAAGCGCGGACUUAAUUUUCCCUUCCGACCAAAUCUCAAAAUUUUCUUCCACGGUGAUACUUUGAGGAAUACCUUAUCACCAACGGAAUAUUCAAUGUCUCGUCAUUUCAAGUCUGCGUAAGAUUUCUGUCUGUCGAAAGCGGCUUUCAGUCUAUCUUUAAUCUUUUUAACUGUUUCUUCUGUCUCUUGAAUCAAUUCCGGCCCAAUCACUUUUCUUUCUCUUAAUUCUGUCCAACAUAUUGGUGAUCGACACCUUCGACCAUAAAGUGCUUCAUAUGGAGCCAUUUGAAUACUAGAUUGGAAACUAUUAUUAUAAACAAACUCGGCCAAUGGUAAAUAACGUUCCCAACCUGAUUCAAAAUCAAUGACACAAGCUCGAAGCAUAUCUUCUAAUAUCUGAAUUACUCGUUCAGAUUGUCCAUCAGUUUGAGGAUGAAAAGCUGUACUGAAACUAAGUCGAGUACCCAAUGAUUCAUGCAGCUGCUUCCAAAAUCUCGAAGUGAAUCGAGGAUCUCUGUCCGAAAUUAUUGAUACCGGAAUACCAUGUAAUCUAACAAUUUCUCGAAUAUAAACCUCGGCAAGCUUCUGUAAUGACCAGUCGAUUCUAACUGCUAUAAAAUGAGCUGAUUUUGUGAGUCGAUCAACAAUCACCCAAAUAACAUUCUUUUUACUCACUGACAAUGGCAACCCCGUAACAAAAUCCAUGGUAAUGCGAUCCCAUUUCCACUCGGGAAUAGUAAUAGGCUGUAACAGGCCUGUUGGUACCUGAUGUUCUGCUUUUACCCGCUGACAAGUCAAGCAUUUACUGACAUAUUCAACUAUAUCUUUCUUCAUUCCUGGCCACCAAUACAGUUCUCGUAGAUCACGAUACAUCUUCGUUCCUCCUGGGUGCAAAGCAAAAAUACUAUCAUGUGCUUCUCGGAGAAUCAAUUCUUUAAUCUCAGAAGUAGAUGGAACACAAAUUCGAUUCCGAAAUCUCAAACAAUCAUGCUCGUCAAUACUAAAAUUUUCUACCGCACCAUACUGUACCAUUUCUCUUUUCCUCAUCAACUUUUCAUCUUUUAACUGUGCUGCUCUGAUUUGAUCAAACAUCACCGGCUUGACUCUUAACUCAGCUAACAAACUUCCAUCAUCCUUAAUACUAAGUCGAGCGAACAUUGCUCGUAAUUCAAUCGCUGCUUUUCUACUCAAUGCAUUUGCUACCACAUUUGCCUUCCCUGGAUGAUAAUCUAUAACACAAUCAUAAUCUUUCAGAAGUUCAAUCCACCGUCUCUGUCUCAGAUUCAACUCCUUUUGUGACAGAAGAUAUUUAAGACUUUUAUGAUCAGUGUAAAUAUAACAUUUCUCACCAUAUAAGUAAUGUCUCCAAAUCUUCAAUGCAAAGAUUACAGCAGCUAACUCUAAAUCGUGUGUCGGGUAGUUGCGUUCAUGUGACUUCAACUGUCGAGAUGCAUAAGCUAUUACUUUUCCUUCUUGCAUCAAUACACAACCCAAACCAUUCAAAGAAGCAUCACUGUACACUAUGAAAUCUUUCCCUGAUUCUGGUAAAGUUAAAACUGGUGCCUCUGUCAACAUCUGUUUCAAUGUUUCAAAGCUCCUCUGACACUGAUCAUCCCAGAUAAAUGGAACAUUCUUCUGUAGUAAUUUGGUCAUCGGCAAAGCUAUCUUCGAAAACCCAUUUACAAAUCUUCUGUAAUACCCAGCCAAACCAAGAAAACUGCGUACCUCUGAUACAUUCUUUGGUGCCUUCCAUUGAACAAUUGCCUCGAUCUUCUUCGGAUCAACUCUAAUCCCAUCCGCUGAUACAACAUGUCCCAAGAAUACUACCUCUGAUAACCAGAAUUCACAUUUACUUAGUUUCCCGUACAACUAUUUUUCUCGCAGAAUCUGUAGCACGGUUCUGAGAUGCUGAUCAUGCUCUGACUCUGACUUCGAAUAAACCAAGAUGUCAUCAAUAAAAACCACCACAAACUGAUCUAAAUACGGCUGAAAAAUACGAUUCAUCAGAUCCAUAAAAGCAGCUGGAGCAUUAGUCAACCCGAACGGCAUCACCAAAAAUUCAUAAUGACCAUAUCGAGUACGAAAUGCAGUCUUCGGAACAUCACUUUCUUUUACCUUCAGCUGAUAAUACCCAGAUCUUAAGUCAAUCUUUGAAAAUACUGAAGCUCCUUUUAGCUGAUCAAAUAAAUCAUCUAUACGGGGUAACGGAUACCGGUUCUUGAUCGUCACUUUGUUUAACUGCCGGUAAUCAAUACAAAGCCGCAUCGAUCCAUCUUUCUUUUUAACAAACAAUACUGGAGCUCCCCAAGGUGAAAUGCUCGGUCUAAUAAAUCCACGAUCUGACAAGUCCUGUAACUGCACUUUCAACUCUUUCAACUCAGUGGGUGACAUUCGAUACGGUGGUAUAGAGAUUGGUGCUGUACCCGGAUACACUUCUAUAGCAAAUUCAACCUCUCUGUCAGGUGGUAAACCCGGUAGCUCUUCAGGAAAUACAUCUGGAAACUCACAUACGGUUCUAAUCUUACUGCACUGACUACCAACCAAAUCAGAAUUAAUAACAUAGGCUAAAUACGCUGUACAACCCCGCUGAAGCAAUUUAUUAGCCUUUAUUGCCGAAAUAAUACGUGCCGGCCCAUUAGUACGGAUACCAUUUACCUCAAUUCUGUCCCCGUCUUCUGUCUGAAUACUAAACUUCUUUUUAUAACAAUCCAAUACCACUCCGUGCUCAGCCAACCAAUCCAUCCCCAGUAUUAUAUUAAAAUCUCCAAAUGGCAUAAUCAACAGGUCAAUAGGAAAAGUUUUAUUUUGUAUAAUUAACGGGCAUCUCGGACAGAUCUGAUUCACUAAUACUGUUUGCCCCAACGGACUCGACACUUCUACAGUCACUCUAGAUAUUUCAGAAUUAAAUUUUCCCAAUUCAACUAAUUUUGAAUUUAUAUAAGAAUGUGAAGAUCCGGGAUCAAUUAAAGCAUAAACAGGCUCAGAAUAUAGUAAGAAUAUACCUGUUACUACAUCGUGGGCGUCACCUUCUUCCCGUGUUCUGACCACAUAAGCUCUGGCAGGUACUUUAGCCUCAGACUGCUGAGUAGCAAUAUCAUUGCUUCUCCUAAUACUUCCUCCCCUUGAAACCGAACCACCUCUUCCUAACCCUCUGCCUCUAGCUGUAGAUACCGAUCUCUGUGAUGUCACGGGUACAGUACUAUCAACUUUCGGACAGUCUCUGAUGAAAUGGUCUGUAGAACCACAUCGAAAACAGCCUCUAGUUAAUUUCCAACAUUCCCCUCUGUGUUUCUUUCCGCAGUGUUGGCAGUCUGGAAUAUCUAUAUCUAAUAAGGACCUCUCACACUGCCAGUAGAUGUCAUCGUCUGUUUUCCCCUACUUCUACCACCUCUGUCUGACCUGAAACUGGAUCUCCAACCACUUUGGAAUUCCUUUGGUCUUUUCGGCUGAGGAUUCGAACUGGUAGUUCCUGUACGCUUCCCGGUUGGUCUAACAACUUCAGUCUUUUUGUCGAGGCCCAGAACUUGUUCCACCAUUUUAGCUCGUUCAAUCAAAUCUACUAACUCAGUGAUCCGAUGGGAUACUAGCUGCACUUUGAUCUCGUCUCGUAAACCCCGUAAAAAUCUUUUACAACUAUCGGCUUCUGUCGGAAUAAACUCGGAGGCAUAUCUACUGAGUCUCGAGAAUUCCCUCUCAUAAUCUAUUACUGACAUAUCACCCUGUUGUAGCAACAAAAACUCUUGUUUCUUGUCUUCAAUAUACAUCUCUCCGAUAUAUUUCUUUUGAAACUCCUUCUGAAAUAGAUCCCACAUUAUCUGACUCUCUGGUAAAUGUCGAACCACUGAUUCCCACCAUAGAUAAGCCUCCCAUUGUAAUAACGAUACGGCACAGAUUAAACACUCUCGGGGGGUACAAUCCAAUUGCUGCAAAAUUCUUUUAGUCGACUCCAUCCAAUUUUCAGCUAUGGAUGGAUCAACUCCUUUUAGACCCAUAAAUUCAGUGGCACCAUAUUUCCUCAGUUCCUUUAUCGGAGCCCGUCUAACAGUAGGUACUGAAGUCGUAACAGGAGUAGUUACUGCUACUCUUUGUAAUGCAUCAGCUAUAAUUCUCAGUAAUUGGGAUUCAUCUCUAUCUCUGACAUUUUCUCGUUCUACAUUAGAAGGUUGGUUGCCUAACGGAUUCACACUCGGUGCAACAGAUUCUGUUUCAUCUAAUUCUCUAUCUUCACUAUACAUUCUUUCAUCAGUAUCAUUUAUUCUUUCUUCAGACAUCUUUAAUCUAUAAAACAAAACAAACAAAUAGGUCAGCAUCCAAAAAUCCCGACUCAGUUUAACUCGACAGUGGCAUGUACAUCUAGACUCAAUUCCGAGCUCGAUUUAGGCCGAGAAUCGGCUAAACCUGAUAGCUCUGAUACCAUAAAAUGUAACACCCCUUAACCCCGAACCGUCGCCGGAACAGAAUUACGAGGCAUUACCGGACGUAUCGAACGAUUUACAACAAUUCUUAAAUAAAUAACCAAUAUAUUAAAAUAAUUCAUAAAAUUUAUUAAUUUGUUUACCAAAUGACUUCAUUUUUUUUUAUAAAAAUUUCGGCAGCAUUUCUGCUUAUUUUUACAUAAAACCCCCUGCAAAUUAAAACCAUAUAGUUCCCAAAUAUUAUCAAUUCAACCAAUUCAUUUCACAUUCACAUUUUCUAUUCUAAAUACUUCUAAUCAAACUCAAUCUACACAAAAUCAAUUUAAAAUUUAACAAUGUACUAAUUAGAUAAAAUAGAUAGACUUCUUUCAUUAAAAUCCAUAAACUUUUAAUACUAACAUUUUUAACCAUUAUAUAAUAAAACAUAAUAACCUUUAUACACAAUCUAUGUACAUGCCACCUUUACCAAAGGAAAAAUACAUCACCAAGUUUUGCCGAAGCCGGGAUUAAUCUGGAUGCUGAACCGGGACCUUUGACUUCUAUUGACCUGCGCACGGAAACAACCGUACGCUGAGUAAUCCAUACUCAGUGGUAUUACCAUAAUUCAAAUUAUAACAAUAAUGUACAUGUAAUGCAUAAAUCGUAUAUACAAUUUAAAUUAAAUAUUUCAACAAUAGCAAUUCAUCAACCAAUAUCGUAUAUCCACAAUUUGAGUUUGAAUAAUUCACGAACCUUAGGUUCAUUUCUCAAUCUCAUUUCACAUUUCAAUUCACAAUUCAACUUUUUCAUAUCAUUUCAAUAGCUCUUUUGACCAACUCAUUCGGUUUAUCAUUUCAUCAUUUACCCUAUUAACAAAACUCGGACUUUGGCGGAUACACGGAUCCAACCAAACACACCAGAAUGGCACCCAGUGCCUCAUCGGAUAGUUCGAAGCAAUAGUUGACACCCAGUGUCUCAUCAGCAAAGCCGAAGAAAGUUGGUACCCAGUACCUCAUCGAAUCUAUCCGAAGAAAUAUAGUGACACCCAGUGUCUCAUCGACUCGAGGUCGAAGUAUCCCUGAACUCUUCCAAUCCUAUGGCAUGCCAACUAUAUCCGACUCAGCCCGACUAGUUAAUAGGGUAUUUAAAUCACAUAUAUUCUCAAUUCAAUUACAAUUUUUCACAUUUUCAAUUCAAUCAUUUUUCCACCUUUCAAUCAAUAAUUAUUUCACAACUUCACACAUUUUCACAACUCAAUACAUUUCCAUACAACUUAAUACCAUUCACAAUUCGAUUCAAAUUCAUUUCCCACUUUCAAUCAACAAACAAUUUAAAUAUUAUUUCAUAUCAACUAUUCAAUUUAAUUCCCACUCAUAAUAAUAAUAAUAAUACUAAUAAUAAUACUAAUACUAAUAUUAAUACUUACCUCACAUUUCAUUUACUAGACACAUAAAUUAAAAUUUAACAUUAAAAAAAUAAAUAAUUUGAAUUAUAGUAAUACAAACCGUAAUUUUCUCGAGUUUACUCCUCGAUAAUCUUCUCUUUUCCCUUCCGUGCCGACGCUUCUGGUUCUUUGCUAGCUACGAAAAUGAUAAUAAUUUAUACUAUUAAUUUCAGCACUAAUUAUGAUAAUAAUUAAAUUUCUAUUCAAUUUCUUCCUUAUUCUCAAUUUAAUCCUAACUAAAUUCACUUACUUUCCUAAUUCAAUUCACACUCUAUUUCUAUUCAAAUUUCAUCCAAACUAAAAUUUAACUAUCAAAAUUUCAGCAUAUUUUGGUAAUUUCGAAUUUCCCUCAAUUUAGUCCCUAAAACAUAAAACUUAUAGUUUCUUUUACAAUUUAAUCCCUUUUUCAAUUCUAACUUAAAAUUCCUUCAAGUUAAUCCCUAAUUCAUCUCUUUUGUUCAACAUAAACUAUACUUGAAAACCUAUGAACUUACAAAAUAUCAACUUAAUUCCAUCAAAACUUUGUUUUAAAGCUUUUAGAACAUUAGAAUUAAGAGGAAAGGGCUAAUUUGACUUACCAAAUUAAAUUCAAGCUUCAAAAACCAUAUUUUCCCUUUUUCUUUUUCUUUCUUUCUUUCUCCCCUGUUUCGUCUCUUUCUCUGUUCCUUUGUUCUUUCUAUUCUGUUUCUUUUCUGUUUUGUUUCUUUCUUUUUCUUUUUAUUUCCUUUUAUUUAAUUACUUUAAUAUAAUAAUAAUUAAAACAAAUAUCUACUUAGUAAUUAAUAAAAAUAUUACAAAUGUAUGUAUUUUAUUAAUACACUUGUAUUAAAUUAUCACCAUACAUUUGUCUUUAUUUAAUUUAUUUCUUAAUAUAAUAUUUAUAAUGUAAUUAAUUUAAUAUUAUACUUUAUAAUUAAUUUAUAUAUUUAUAUAAAUAAUAAUAUAAAAAUCUAAGAUUUUUACAAUGUUAUGCCGCCUCAACUUCCAAAUGUGGCUUAAUUGCCCAUUUGGUCCCUAUUAUUUUCCUUUAAUCUAUAAUUAUGCUUUCACUCUUUAUUCAAUUUAAUCCUUUUUACUAAUUACUCAUAAUUAAACUAAAUUCACCUAUCUAAAACUUAAUUAAACACACAACUAGUCUCGUAAAUAUUUCUAAUAAUUAUUUUCGGACUCAAUUUACUAGGACGGAGGCCCGAUAUUAUACUUUUCCGAUGCCCAUGAAUUUUGGGUCAUUACAGGAUGGAUGCAUCAUACUCAAUAUACUUGCCACAGAAAUCACCAAACUGUUUGGCCAUAGAGACACUCAUCAGUCUUGGCGGUAAGUCGUGAACUUGAAUCCAAAACUCAGUGUGAUUUAACUCCAUCACCGCUGGGUUCCCUUCGGCAGGUAUUUUUUGCAGAAUAAGUAAAUGAUUAUUAAAAAACCAUGGAGCCCCCGUAACAACCCUUUCAAUAUCGAUCUUAUGAAAAAAUUGGAAAAUAUACCAUUUUUCUCCUAUCUCCGUUAUACAAAUCCCUCCUAUUGGGUGCCAAAGAUCUGCCAAAGUGUUGCGUAAUGACGGGAAAUGAACAACACUGCCUGUUAGGCACCGUCCCACCAGACAUAGUUGAUUAACACGACCCACCGCUCCUUCAUCCUCUUGAAAAGCAUCCUCUUCGUCAUCCAUCAAAUUCAAAUUCUCCAUUGCUUCUUCCAUCUCACCUUUUGCACCUUUUCA
rnacentral:lncRNA from 1 species